rnacentral:tRNA from 1 species
GGCGCUUAGCUCAGUUGGUAGAGCGUCUGCCUUACAAGCAGAAUGUCGGC